UGUGGAAUUGUGAAAAUACGUGGUUUGUGAGAUGGAAGUGGCAGCAGAAGAAAACGUUUUUGUCAAGUAUUUGCUGUGUGCCAGGCAUAGUACGGCUGGGAUCUUUCCACCUGUUAGUUCAUCGAAUCCUCAAAACGCCAAGUGCAGAGGAUGUGACGGGCCUUUGCCAUCCCAGCCCCCCGGCCAUCAGGAGCAGAGCCUUUGUGACACACCUCAGCUUCUGCAAUAAAUGAGGGCUGAUGAUAAAUCAGGCAGCACAGAGACAAGGAAACUAAGGCCUCCUGGAGUUAACUUACUGGCUCAAGUCACUAAGAGACAGGCUGAAAACUACCUAAUACAAAUCAGUUCCAACCCCUGCCAGGCCAGGAUGGCUUCCGGGACACCCCAACUCACGUUGGCCCUCAUCUCCUCUGAGUGUCCUAACACAUCUGCUCCACUCCUUUGGCUCUUGGUCAUGGCUUACCUUGAGAUAUCCUUUCACUUAUUUCUCUUUAUAUUCUCUUGGCUGUUAACCUGUAAUAUCCUGUUUCUCUCAAUUAUAAAC
rnacentral:lncRNA from 1 species